AACGAACGCUGGCGGCAUGCCUAACACAUGCAAGUCGAACGAGACCUUCGGGUCUAGUGGCGCACGGGUGCGUAACGCGUGGGAACCUGCCCUUAGGUUCGGAAUAACUCCCCGAAAGGGGUGCUAAUACCGGAUAAUGCCUUCGGACCAAAGAUUUAUCGCCUUUGGAUGGGCCCGCGUUGGAUUAGCUAGUUGGUAGGGUAAAAGCCUACCAAGGCGACGAUCCAUAGCUGGUCUGAGAGGAUGAUCAGCCACACUGGGACUGAGACACGGCCCAGACUCCUACGGGAGGCAGCAGUGGGGAAUAUUGGACAAUGGGCGAAAGCCUGAUCCAGCAAUGCCGCGUGAGUGAUGAAGGCCUUAGGGUUGCAAAGCUCUUUUACCCGGGAUGAUAAUGACAGUACCGGGAGAAUAAGCUCCGGCUAACUCCGUG
rnacentral:rRNA from 1 species